UACUAUGUCGUGCCCUAGUAUUGGGUUUGCAUCUGCUGCCGCUUGAUAUCUUCUCCCCUCUGCCGGUCCGUCUCUCCUUCUCCUCCUUUCCGAGCCGCACCAGGCGCCGCCACCACCUGAGGCUGAACGGAGCAGCGCCUGACCUAGGGUUUCCGGCAGUGGGCUGAUACAUGAUUAUUCCAGCCACUGCUGGUUGCUACCAUCGCCGGAAAAGAAGUGACAGUGGUGUGAAGCUAUUGGAUUCCGGCUACCACAACAUUGAAUGCCUUGGUUGUUUCCUUGAUAUCCAACUUUGAUCCGAUCAGUGAAAGGACUUUGACGCGAGACGAGUAUCUCGAUGUCGGAUUUGGACAUUCCUAUUGGAGGCGGG